rnacentral:rRNA from 1 species
UACGUAGGGUCCGAGCGUUGUCCGGAAUUACUGGGCGUAAAGCGCGCGCAGGCGGCCCGCGAGGUGUCACGUGAAAGCCCCGGGCUCAACCCGGGAGGGUCGUGGCAAACCGGCGGCUUGAGGCCGGUAGAGGUGGGUGGAACUCCUGGUGGAGUGGUGAAAUGCGUAGAGAUCAGGAAGACACCCGUGGCGAAGGCAGGUCUCUGGGCAUUAACUGACGCUGAGGAGGCGAA